CCUACGGGUGGCAGCAGUGGGGAAUAUUGGACAAUGGGCGAAAGCCUGAUCCAGCCAUGCCGCGUGUGUGAAGAAGGCCUUCGGGUUGUAAAGCACUUUCAGUGGGGAAGAAAGCCUUGGGGCUAAUACCCUCGAGGAAGGACAUCACCCACAGAAGAAGCACCGGCUAACUCCGUGCCAGCAGCCGCGGUAAUACGGAGGGUGCGAGCGUUAAUCGGAAUUACUGGGCGUAAAGCGCGCGUAGGCGGUCUGAUAAGCCGGUUGUGAAAGCCCCGGGCUCAACCUGGGAACGGCAUCCGGAACUGUCAGGCUAGAGUGCAGGAGAGGAAGGUAGAAUUCCCGGUGUAGCGGUGAAAGGCGUAGAGAUCGGGAGGAAUACCAGUGGCGAAGGCGGCCUUCUGGACUGACACUGACGCUGAGGUGCGAAAGCGUGGGUAGCAAACAGGAUUAGAUACCCUAGUAGUC
rnacentral:rRNA from 1 species